rnacentral:lncRNA from 1 species
UCAGGCAAGUAUUUCUUAAUAUGUCUUGGUGGGAUGAGUCCUUGAAUGACAGUUCCCUAUUGUCGGAAAAGAAUAACAAAUCACGAAAUGAGAAUUAAACCUCAGAAUUUAAACAAAUACGAUUCCAAACCCUACUAACUAACUUACCAAUCGUAUAACAAAACGUCAAAAUCAAAAUUUAAAGUUUUAUUACCAUAACUAAUUAACCCUAGCUUCGCCUUCAAAGUUUAAAGAAACGUCAAAAUCACAGUUCAAAGUUUAAUUAACUAAUCUAACAUAACUAAUUAACCCUAAC